CCCUUCGAGGAUCAGCGGUGAUCGUCCCGCUUACCUCACUGUCCAAAAUACUUGACGCGGGAAGAUGUGGGUUCGAUUCCCUCCGAAGAGG